GCUUAGGUAAUUUUAAGUUUGCUCAUUUUUCUUCCUGAUCCUUCAAAGAUGGCCUAGCUGGCUUCGACAUUUCAAGUUGGAUGCUGCUUAUAAUAAACUCACUACCAAACGACCUUGUGGACCUAGCAAGACAUCGAUUCGUGGAGCAAAGUAUGAUCUGGCAAAGAACGAUCCCUCGAAAGAGCCAUUUGAGAGUCUUCCUGAUUAUGCAUUCGAUGACAUUGCUGAUUGGGAAAGAAAACUCAUCCAAAAUUGCGUUCAAGAACUCCUCCAAAGUUACAAGAAAUGGUAUUCUAACCUUAAUACUUCUUUGAUUUGAUACAAUCUUUCUUCCUCCAUCAAGACUGCUUUUUAGUUCUAUUUUUGAAAGCUAUGUGUUCAAUUGUGUCAUGUUUUUUUGAUAUAAUUUAUCUUCUGUAAAAGCUAUCAGUGAUUGCUGUUGACUCUUAUGAGUUAUUGUUUGAUUGGAGGUUUAAAUCUGCCUGAAUAAUUUUCUGUGAAAUAUAGUGACAGCUCGACAUAAACAGGCAGUGCAUCUUGGAGUUUCUGCAUUUCAAAUAUUUUUUGAAAGAUUUACAUGCAUACUGCUCAACUCUUAUGUAAUUACAUAUCUAACACCUAAUGAUACUGGAGCUAGUUAGGAAAUCAGCGGAAAUGCUAAGCAACUGUUAUUAGCAUUGAAUUAGGGUUACAACACGACACAAACAGAAAAGGAAAUUACAAUAACAAACCUCUCUCCGGCUAGGACUGGAAGAGAAGAUCUCAGGACGGUGGUUGCGUCGGUCAAGCGGCAAGUUGUAAGGGGAAGGUUGAGGGCUGUCGUGUCUGCUGGAAUAGUGGCUGGUGGCUGGUUUGGGGAUUGGGAGAAUGGUGCAGUAGGGAAAAGUGCAGGGAAGGGUGAAUGAUGGGGGAAUGAGCCGGACAGCAAGGAGAACUGCUGUAGGUGGCUGGCAGGAUGCAGGUGGGUGGACGGGAAGGCUGGACAACAAGACCAGCAGCAGGGGGAAUAGGAAACGGCGGCUGGAAGAUGGUAGGGAGGGCUGGACAGAAGGCUACGACUACGAGGAGGUGGCGACAGAGGGGCUGGAAGAUGUGUGUAGGCCGGUGGUUAAGGGAAAAAGGGAGGAGAAGAAUUGGGGAAGAGGACAGAGGAAGAUACAGCACAACCUCGGAGUAGGAUACACCACCCGUUGUGAAUUACAGCUCUAGCAGGGAGAGAACACUCCAAGAGGAAUUCUGAAACAAACACAAGCAAAAACUAACCAUAAUUCCAGAUAACAACACUUAAAAGACUUUAAUAGGGAAAUAAUAGAGAAGGUAGGUUCCCAUAGGGAAAUAAUAGAAAAGGAAAGGAAUAGAGGGGUGUUGAGAAAAUUAGG